rnacentral:rRNA from 1 species
AAAGUUGGCCGAAGAGGGUGAAAGCCCCGUAUACGAAGGUUUGAUGAGGAACUAGGCACGCGAACAAGUAGGCCGGGACACGUGAAAUCCUGGUUGAAGAUGGGUGGACCAUCAUCCAAGGCUAAAUACUACUUACUGACCGAUAGUGAACCAGUACCGUGAGGGAAAGGUGAAAAGAACCCCGGAGAGGGGAGUGAAAUAGAAUCUGAAACCGUUUGCGUACAAGCAGUGGGAGCAUGGUUUAGGCUGUGUGACUGCGUACCUUUUGUAUAAUGGGUCAGCGAGUUACUUUCAGUGGCGAGGUUAACUGAAUAAGGGAGCCGUAGAGAAAUCGAGUCUGAAUAGGGCGAUAGUCGCUGGGAGUAGACCCGAAACCGGGCGAUCUAGCCAUGUGCAGGAUGAAGGUUGGGUAACACCAACUGGAGGUCCGAACCGGGUAAUGUUGAAAAAUUAUCGGAUGACGUGUGGCUAGGAGUGAAAGGCUAAUCAAGCCCGGAGAUAGCUGGUUCUCCCCGAAAGCUAUUUAGGUAGCGCCUCGUGAAUGAUUACUGGGGGUAGAGCACUGUUUCGGCUAGGGGGCUGUCAUGGCUUACCAAACCGAUGCAAACUCCGAAUACCGGCUAAUUGAAUCACGGGAGACACACGGCGGGUGCUAACGUCCGUCGUGGAGAGGGAAACAACCCAGACCGCCAGCUAAGGUCCCCAAGUACUAGUUAAGUGGGAAACGAUGUGGGAAGGCAUAGACAGCCAGGAGGUUGGCUUAGAAGCAGCCACCCUUUAAAGAAAGCGUAAUAGCUCACUGGUCGAGUCGGCCUGCGCGGAAGAUGUAACGGGGCUAA